rnacentral:tRNA from 1 species
ACCUGGGUGGCUCAGUCGGUUGAGCGUCUGACUUCAGCUCAGGUCAUGAGCUCAUAGUUUGUGAGUUCAAACCCUGCAUCAGGCU